rnacentral:rRNA from 1 species
AUGAAGCUGCAGGCGCAGAGGAGCAGUAUUGUCCUCGACAGCACCGGCCUCCUCUCCCCGGCAGCGGCACCGCUCUUGGCCUUCAUCUUCCUCAGAGUCGCCUCCAUCCCAGCUCUCUCCGUACGUAAGAUCUCACCAUUCUCUGUCCAGAUGAAGAAGAAGGGAGAGAAAGCUAGAGCCCGCUGUCCCGCCGGGUCCGUCGUCCGGUGGGGCCGUCACAAACUGCUGGGCCUUGGCGUCCUUCUCUCCAGCAACAGACGCCUAGGGACGAGGACGACGAAACGGACUGCUCGCCUCCACGCCCGAGGCGACGAGAUUUGGGGGAGACUGCUGGGCCUUGGCGUCCUCCUCGAGUACCCGAUCCACCCCACCGAGAGAAACGGCGGCGGCCCGACGCGGGGUGCGAGAGCAGGGGAGGAGGGGUGCGGGGCUUUAGGAGACGGGGGAUUGGUGGGGAGGAGGGAUGUGGGGAUCGAGGAGGACGGGGACCACCGCGGUGAAAUCGAUCCCCCAAUUCACUCACGCAAAACCAAAGCAACCUCACAUGAUUCUCUCGACCCCACAGGUAACGAGCCCCACCUGGCAUUGACCUGUGAAGCUGCUGCUGAUGUACAGAAGGACCAACGGCUGACCAAACGCCAGCAGCCCGUGGCGAGCGCUAGAGCCGGCGCUCUCGAUCCCCUGCGCCUCUCCCGCCUCCCGCGCUUCUCCUUCCUCCUUCGCGCGCGAAAAUCAGCCCGUGCCGUCGCCCCAAAUAGCUUCCUCGCGCCAAAUCAAGCCUUCCAAAUUUCCCCAAAUCGCCACCUCUCCCGAACCCUAGAACUGUCGCCGGCGCACAUCAAGGAGAUGGGUCAGCAGUCCAAACGGACGCGCGCGCUGGCACCUCGUGAAGCCCCUCCACCAGCGCCUCUGCUCACCCCGCCGCCGGCGCAUCUCCUGGUCCCGCCGCCGGCGCAUCUGCUGGUCUCGACGGCGCCUAAGUCCGCCCCGCCGCCGGGGAUCCCGUCGGCCUUCCCUUCAAAGCAGAGAACAAGCACUUGGAUCCCCCAAGACCACAAGAGUCUCUGGCGGCUAGUCUGCAGCAACCAAGUGAAUCGGGUCCUACGGCUCAAGGUCCUUGCUGGGCACCGCCUGCUUGCAUCGGUGACUCUACAUCACCUUGGUACAUGGCUGGCAAUAUGGACUACUCUGAUCCACAAGUAUGGAGUGAGCUGUGAUGUGGUGAUUGCGGCAGCUGUUACUUAUAGUGCAAGGCUAAGGCUCAUAGGUACAAUUGAUUCCAUUCGAGGCCAUGAUGAAUUUCCAAGAUCCAUUAACCAGGAUAAUUUCCUUGACCUAGUAAAACUUUUGGCUUCUUAUAACAAGGAGGAGAAAGAUGUUUUCCUGGCAAAUGCUCCUGGAAUGCAAAGUUGUCAUGAAUCCAAAAGAGAGCAAAUGGCAUUGUCCUCCGGUUUCCCAACACUGAAGGGUUCAUACAUGAGCGAUUCUUUGAUGUCAAUCAUUGCAUCACCUAAACGCAAUAAUGAGUUACCACCAAAUCAAGCCAUUGAGAUUGCACGCGAAAUUGAACUUGGGGAGUUUGAUAUGGGUAAAGGGGCAAACCAGAUAGGCUCUUUAAAGGGGACUAGGAGACACUAUAUGGAGUUACCACUUCAAGUCAAUUCAGAGCCGGAGAAGAUGUUUGCUACUAAAAUUCAAUCCUACGAAGUAGAGCGAACGAUCGUUCGGUCACACAAUAUUCCCGUGGAGAUGCUAGAGGCACCCUAA